rnacentral:rRNA from 1 species
AUUCCUACGGGGCGCAGCAGUGAGGAAUAUUGGUCAAUGGUCGGGAGACUGAACCAGCCAAGCCGCGUGAGGGAGGAAGGUACAGAGUAUCGUAAACCUCUUUUGUCAGGGAACAAAGACUGGGACGCGUCCCUGGAUGAGUGUACCUGAAGAAAAAGCAUCGGCUAACUCCGUGCCAGCAGCCGCGGUAAUACGUAUGGUGCAAGCGCUAUCCGGAUUUACUGGGUGUAAAGGGAGCGCAGGCGGUGCGGCAAGUCUGAUGUGAAAGCCCGGGGCUCAACCCCGGGACUGCAUUGGAAACUACC